rnacentral:rRNA from 1 species
UACAGAGGGUGCAAGCGUUGUUCGGAAUUAUUGGGCGUAAAGCGCGUGUAGGCGGCUUUGCAAGUCGGAUGUGAAAGCCCUCGGCUCAACCGAGGAAGUGCGCCCGAAACUGCAGAGCUUGAGUACCGGAGAGGAUGGCGGAAUUCCCCAAGUAGAGGUGAAAUUCGUAGAUAUGGGGAGGAACACCGGUGGCGAAGGCGGCCAUCUGGACGGAUACUGACGCUGAGACGCGAAAAGCGUGGGGAGCAAACAGG